GGUAUGUGAGUUUGGAACCUGGCUCAGAUUGAACGCUGGCGGCAUGCCUUACACAUGCAAGUCGAACGGUAACAGGUCUUCGGAUGCUGACGAGUGGCGAACGGGUGAGUAAUACAUCGGAACGUGCCCGAUCGUGGGGGAUAACGAGGCGAAAGCUUUGCUAAUACCGCAUACGAUCUACGGAUGAAAGCGGGGGAUCUUCGGACCUCGCGCGGACGGAGCGGCCGAUGGCAGAUUAGGUAGUUGGUGGGAUAAAAGCUUACCAAGCCGACGAUCUGUAGCUGGUCUGAGAGGAUGAUCAGCCACACUGGGACUGAGACACGGCCCAGACUCCUACGGGAGGCAGCAGUGGGGAAUUUUGGACAAUGGGCGAAAGCCUGAUCCAGCCAUGCCGCGUGCAGGAUGAAGGCCUUCGGGUUGUAAACUGCUUUUGUACGGAACGAAAAGCCUCUUUCUAAUAAAGAGGGGUCAUGACGGUACCGUAAGAAUAAGCACCGGCUAACUACUCAGACGUUCCGG
rnacentral:rRNA from 1 species